rnacentral:lncRNA from 1 species
CCUCAUCUUGCCAAGUCAUCACCUAGCCCUUAGUCUCCGUGGGCCCUCUCGAGACGAGAACAACUUCUACAUGGUUGUUUCUGUCACGUGACAAAGUCGAGUGAUAAGAUAAUCUAAUUAAAAACAAGCACUAUCUUUUAACUGAACUACUCUGCCACUCAUCAUUGUCACGUGGUUGUUUGAUAUGGCAGAACAUGAGCUUCAGUUUGUAUUGAAUAUAUACGUAUGAGUGAUAUUACAC